GUCAAACCUGCAGGGAACAGACAACAACACGUUUACACAUGUUCUCUCUGGGUAGGACUGCGGGUCAUUUUCACAGAGUUUUUGCUCAGAUAUAUUUUCUCAUUUUCCUACAAUUCUCUCAAUAAAUGUUCUACACCUGCUACAUGGUAAGUUCUGUGUUAGGUGCUAAUUCCACCACCGUGAAAGAGGAAUGUCUAUUAUCGCUGUAAGCUAAUAACAGGUGAACUGGAUUGUCACACUCUCACCAACCAUAUCUGAAUAAUAUGAAAAGCGUGAAUUAAAAAUUAAUUACAUAAAAACCCAUCCACUUUCUGAAAAAUUGAACAGCAUAUUAGAACCCGAUUUUAGAUUAUGAUAAUUACUAAAAAAUGAAUUUAAAUGACAAGAGAAAUUCUGUGUAAUCUUUCCAGCCAAGAGGCAGCCAAGGACACAACCCCGGCAGGUGCCCUCAGAGCCCUCUGACCUUUGAGGCCGCGGGAGGCUAAGAACACCCUGCAGGUCUGCAACAGCACAAAGGGAACAGGGCGCGGCUUUUUCUGGUUUUCCUA
rnacentral:lncRNA from 10 species